GAACUGUGCGAACGUUAUUCGGAAUCACUGGGCUUACAGGGUGCGUAGGCGGCUUGUUAAGUAGGGUGUGAAAUCCCCCGGCCCAACCGGGGAAUUGCGCUCUAAACUAGCAGGCUUGAGUGAGCUAGGGGUACACGGAACUUCCAGUGGAGCGGUGAAAUGUGUUGAUAUUGGAAGGAACACCGGAGGCGAAAGCGGUGUACUGGGGCUUAACUGACGCUGAGGCACGAAAGCCAGGGGAGCGAACGGGAUUAGAUACCCCGGUAGUCCUGGCCGUAGACGAUGAGCACUGGGCGGGAGAAGGUUCGCCUUUUCCGGCCGUAGCGAAAGCGUUAAGUGCUCCGCCUGGGGAGUAUGGUCGCAAGGCUG
rnacentral:rRNA from 1 species